AAAUUUUUAACUUAAUAAUGAUAAAAAGAAAAACAAAAUCAGGAGAAAUGACAAAAAAAAAAAAAAAAUAAGAUGAAUAAAGAAUAUUUGUAGGCGUUGUGUAUUUGAAAUGUUCAUCAGUUUUUAGUUCAUCAGAAGCGAGCGAACUUGCCUGAAUUGAUGUUUGCCACCUGCUGAAGAAAUAAAAGAAAAAAAAAAAUUCUCAUUGUGUUUUUUUUUUUUUUUAUAAAUUUUUUUGUAAUAAUUUCACCCAAACAAAUUUAAUAAAUGGAAGGAAAAGUUAAAUUUACGGGGUAAAGAAAUAAACAAACCUGCAGCAGCUUUUUAUUUUGUGUUGUUGGUCGAGCAAAAGAGCAACUAUUUAACCAGUUUAUCUAAUAAAAAAAAAAAAUUAUAAAAACCAUAAAUUGUAUUUUAUUAUUUUUAUGUAUGCUUGUACUUUUUUUUAUAAAUAUAUAAAAAAAUCUGAAUUAAAAUAAAAUUUUUAAAACUUU